rfam:[Eubacterium] eligens ATCC 27750 chromosome, complete genome.
GGGGUCAUAGCUCAGCUGGUUAGAGCGCACGCCUGAUAAGCGUGAGGUCGGAGGUUCGAGUCCUCUUGACCCCA